AUCCGUUGUAGUUCUUUGGUUCCUUCCCAUGGCAAGCUAAUGUCUUCGCUUCCCGUUCCUUGUACUUCUUUGGUUCCUUCCCGGUCCCCAAGAAUGGUUCCCAAGAAAGGAUCUGAGUCAAGAAUGACUCCCGCUCCGGCGCGAUCCGCCCACGUGGAAGAAUCUAAGGCGAGCUCGUCGGAUUCGGACCUCUUCGCCGCCUUCAUCGCUCGGAGGAAGUUCUUCAACUAUGAGCAGAACCGCCUCCAAGACCAGGUCGACACCCUCGGGCGCCGUUCCAAGUGGCUGAAGACUUGCAUGGACGAACAAAGCGAAGAUGGGUUGAGGAGUGCCAAGGCGCUGAAGACGUGCAUUGGUAAGACGAGCGAGCUGCAGCGUGCUUUGCACGAUCGACGGGAUAAACGUGAGACGUGUGACCAAAAUUUCACCCUGGCACCAUGGUGUCUUCUUUUAUGUUAUAUAUGAAGAUUGGGUUCAAGAAUAAGUGUUGUUCCUCUGUCUUUUAUGGUGUUACAUAUGAAGACCUCAAGAAAACUUAAAUCAUCUAGCAUGUUGCUGCAUUCUGUAGCUUAAAGCUUUGAAUUCCGAAAUUGGAUUCUUAAGAAGCGACGAGAAGAUGGUGUGGAAUGAAUAUCAAAACACCGAAGAUGAGCUCCAUGAAUGCAAACAAAGGAUGAAAAGUCUUCUGAGGCAGUUAAGCGAAGAAAGCAAAGCCAAAGGAUCAGCUAGUGAGCAGCAUAAGACUACUAGUAAAGUGAGGAACAACAUAAUUUCCUACAAUUUCUGUCAUUCUUGACAUUGUCUUCUUAGCAUACUUUAUUCUUGCUCUGUUAUUUUUCUUUUCCCUCUCUAAUUGUUUGAAGUUUGUAAUCUCGUGCACAGGGAAAGCAAAUUAUGUCAUAGAACAAUGUCACAGCAAUUUUCAACUCUGCUAUUGUGCAGUGCAUUGUAAGUUCUUUGGAGGGAAGCUGUUGAGUGAAACCAUGGUUUUCUUUCAAUGGUUGUCAACUUCAUCAUAAUGAAUCUUAUGUUCUGAGGUCAUGGCUUCCCACUGGAACCCCUUCCUGUACUGGAUUCUUUUGUAUCAUCCAAGUCAUAACAAUCAAAAUGUUAGCUUCAUACUAAAUCUUA